rnacentral:rRNA from 1 species
AAGGUGAAACCGCGAAAGGCUCAUUAAAUCAGCUAUGAUUCAAUUGAUGGUACGAUCACGGUUACUUGGAUAACUGUGGCAAUUCUAGAGCUAAUACAUGCCAAACGAGUUCCGACCGCGGGUUCGAACGAUCUCGCGGAACGAAUGCUUUUAUUAGAACAAAACCAAUCGGAUCUCGUUCGAACGAACGAGAUCCGCAAAUCUAUGACGAAUCUGAAUAACUUUGAGCUGAUCGCACGGUCCAUAGAACCGGCGACGCAUCUUUCAAAUGUCUGACUUAUCAACUUUCGAUGGUAGGCUACGCGCCUACCAUGGUGAUAACGGGUGACGGGGAAUCAGGGUUCGAUCCCGGAGAGGGAGCCUGAGAAACGGCUACCACAUCCAAGGAAGGCAGCAGGCGCGCAAAUUACCCACUCCCGGCACGGGGAGGUAGUGACGAAAAAUAACGAUGCAGGACUCUUUUCGAGGCUCUGCAAUCGGAAUGAGAACACUCUAAAUCAUUUAACGAGUAUCCAUUGGAGGGCAAGUCUGGUGCCAGCAGCCGCGGUAAUUCCAGCUCCAAUAGCGUAUAUUAAAGUUGCUGCGGAUAAAAAGCUCGUAGUUUGAUUUGUGUUCCGAGCAGUCGGUACGCCGUUCGUCGGCGGUCAACUGACUCGCGGCGGAACGUCCUGCCGGUUGACGGAGCGGGUGGCGGCGGCGGCGCGAGUCGUCGCCGCCUCGAGUGGUCGGAGGGAAGAGCGCCCGAUCUUCGGAUCGUGGCGCGCUUCGCGUCCGACGACGUUUCUGCGUCCGUCAGUCUUAGAAAAUCCCGUCGCGGCGCUCUUAACCGAGUGACGCGCCGGGCCGGCACGUUUACUUUGAACAAAACUGAGUGCUUAAAGCAGGCCGAACCCCAGCGCCUGAAAGUCGGAUGCAUGGAAUAAUGGAAUAGGGCCUCGGUUCUAUUUUGUUGGUUUUCGGAAUUUCCGAGGCAAUGAUUAAUGGGGACAGGCGGGGGCAUUAGUAUUGCGGCGUUAGAGGUGAAAUUCUUGGAUCGUCGCAAGACUAACCUAAGCGAAAGCAUUUGCCAAGGAUGUUUUCCUUAAUCAAGAACGAAAGUUGGAGGUUCGAAGGCGAUCAGAUACCGCCCUAGUUCUUACCGUAAACUAUGCCGGCUAGCGAUCCGUCGAUGUUCGUUCAGAUGAUUCGGCGGGCAGCUUGAGGGAAACCAAAGCCUUCGGGUUCCGGGGGAAGUAUGGUUGCAAAGCUGAAACUUAAAGGAAUUGACGGAAGGG